UCUCAGGCUUUUCUCAAAGCCCUCUAUGUUUUCCGGAAAAAGAAC
rfam:Microgenomates (Curtissbacteria) bacterium GW2011_GWA1_40_24 TT92_C0002, whole genome shotgun sequence.